rnacentral:rRNA from 1 species
AUUGAACGCUGGCGGCAGGCCUAACACAUGCAAGUCGAACGAGUGGCGGACGGGUGAGUAAUGUCUGGGAAACUGCCCGAUGGAGGGGGAUAACUACUGGAAACGGUAGCUAAUACCGCGUACCAUCGGAUGUGCCCAGAUGGGAUUAGCUUGUAGGUGAGGUAACGGCUCACCUAGGCGACGAUCCCUAGCUGGUCUGAGAGGAUGACCAGUAACACUGGAACUGAGAAAAGGUCCAGACUCCUGAGGGGGGAGGCAGGUGGGAAGAUUGCACAAUGGGCGCAAGCCUGAUGCAGCCAGGCCGUGUGGAUGAAGAAUGCCUUCGGGUUGUAAAUUAAGUGCGGCGGGGAGGCGUUGCCCGCAUAAGAAGCAACGGCUAACUCCGUGCCAGCAGCGGCGGGAAUUC